rnacentral:rRNA from 1 species
AGUGAACGCUGGCGGUAGGCCUAACACAUGCAAGUCGAACGGCAGCACAGUAAGAGCUUGCUGUUACGGGUGGCGAGUGGCGGACGGGUGAGGAAUACAUCGGAAUCUACUUUUUCGUGGGGGAUAACGUAGGGAAACUUACGCUAAUAUCGCAUACGACCUUCGGGUGAAAGAAGGGGAUAUUCGGACCUUGCGCGAUUGAAUGAGCCGAUGUGGGAUUAGUUAGUUGGCGGGGUAGAGACCCAAUCUGGCGACGAUCCGUAGCUGGACUGAGUGGAUGGUAUGCGACACUGGAGCGGAGACUCGGUCCAUACUGCUGCGGGAGGCAGCAGUGCUGAAUAGGAGGCAAUUGGCGCAAUCCUUGGCCAGCCGGACCGCGUUGGUGAAGGAGUCCUUCGGGUUGUAAUGCCCGUUUGUUGGGAAAGAAAAGCAGCAGGUUAAUACCCCGCUGUUCUGACGGUACCCAAAGAAUAAGCACCGGCUAACUACGUG